GUCCUUUUAUAGUUCAUGAUGAGCACGAUGACUGGGUGUUCAUACGCACGUGUGAAAUGUGCCACCCUCAAACCUUGUUACAAUAUUGGCAUAUUACCCAUGUGACA
rnacentral:snoRNA from 1 species